GAUGAACGCUGACAGAAUGCUUAACACAUGCAAGUCCACUUGAAUUUGGGUUUUUUAACUUAGAUUUGGGUGGCGGACGGGUGAGUAACGCGUAAAGAACUUGCCUCACAGCUAGGGACAACAUUUGGAAACGAAUGCUAAUACCUGAUAUUAUGAUUAUAAGGCAUCUUAGAAUUAUGAAAGCUAUAUGCGCUGUGAGAGAGCUUUGCGUCCCAUUAGCUAGUUGGAGAGGUAACGGCUCACCAAGGCGAUGAUGGGUAGCCGGCCUGAGAGGGUGAACGGCCACAAGGGGACUGAGACACGGCCCUUACUCCUACGGGAGGCAGCAGUGGGGAAUAUUGGACAAUGGACCAAGAGUCUGAUCCAGCAAUUCUGUGUGCACGAUGACGUUUUUCGGAAUGUAAAGUGCUUUCAGUUGGGAAGAAAAAAAUGACGGUACCAACAGAAGAAGAGACGGCUAAAUACGUG
rnacentral:rRNA from 1 species